GAGGUAGCCAACACUAUUAUAUAUAUAUAUAUAUAUAUAUAUAUAUAUAUAUAUUUUUUAUUGGGGUAGCCCCCAAAAAUAUUGGGACAUAUAAAAAAAAGACAACUCUGUUCCGCAGAGUAGCUGUUGACAUUAUAGUUGCGCAGGAACUUUGCCAGUUUCUGCGUCUACCAUGGUGACCACGGGUAACGGGGAAUCAGGGUUCCAUUCCUUACAGGGACGCUGAGAAACGGCUACCACAUGCAAGGAAGGCAGCAGGCGCGCAAAUGACCCACUCCCGACGCGGGAAGGUAG